UACGUAGGGUGCAAGCGUUGUCCGGAAUUAUUGGGCGUAAAGAGCUCGUAGGCGGUCUGUUGCGUCGGCUGUGAAAAACUCGGGGCUCAACCCCGAGCCUGCUUUCGAUACGGGCGGACUAGAGGUAGGUAGGGGAGAACGGAAUUCCUGGUGUAGCGGUGGAAUGCGCAGAUAUCAGGAGGAACACCGGUGGCGAAGGCGGUUCUCUGGGCCUUACCUGACGCUGAGGAGCGAAAGCGUGGGGAGCGAACAGG
rnacentral:rRNA from 1 species